rnacentral:rRNA from 1 species
UCGAGAGGCUUCGGCAAUGGGGGAAACCCUGACCGAGCGACGCCGCGUGGGUGAUGAAGUUUCUCGGAACGUAAAACCCUGUCAGGUGGGAUGAAAUACCAUUCGGUUAACACCCGAGUGGCUUGACAGUACCACCAGAGGAAGCUCCGGCUAACUCCGUGCCAGCAGCCGCGGUAACACGGGGGGAGCAAGCGUUGUUCGGAUUCAUUGGGCGUAAAGAGCUCGUAGGUGGCUCUGUAAGUCGGAGGUGAAAGACCACGGCUCAACCGUGGAAACGCCUUCGAAACUGUGGAGCUUGAGGCUGGGAGAGGAAAUCGGAAUUCCUGGUGUAGCGGUGAAAUGCGUAGAUAUCAGGAGGAACACCGGUGGCGAAGGCGGAUUUCUGGACCAGUUCUGACACUGAGGAGCGAAAGCCAGGGGAGCAAACAG